UGGAAAUUUAACAUAUGGUGAAUCAUGAUAACUUUACGAAUCGCAUGGUCUUUUGUGCCGGCGAUAGUUCAUUCAAAUAUCUGCCCUAUCAACUUUCGAUGGUAGUAUAGAGGACUACCAUGGUGUUAACGGGUAACGGAGAAUCAGGGUUUGAUUCCGGAGAAGGAGCCUGAGAAACGGCUACUACUUCCAAGGAAGGCAGCAGGCGCGCAAAUUACCCAAUCCCGACACGGGGAGGUAGUGACAAAAAAUAACAAUACCGGUCUUAUUUAAGUCUGGUAAUUGGAAUGAGUACAAUCUAAAUCCUUUAACGAGUAUCAAUUGGAGGGCAAGUCUGGUGCCAGCAGCCGCGGUAAUUCCAGCUCCAAUAGCAUAUAUUAAAGUUGUUGCAGUUAAAAAGCUCGUAGUUGGAUUUUGAAGUUUACAUAUUAUGACCCACUUUGUAUUAGGUGUGUUUUGUUGUGAUAUGUACUUCUCCUUACUAGACUUUCACUA
rnacentral:rRNA from 1 species